GAUCCUGGCUCAGAUUAAACGCUGGCGGCAUGCCUUACACAUGCAAGUCGAACGGCAGCACGGGGGCGAACCCUGGUGGCGAGUGGCGGACGGGUGAGUAACACAUCGGAACGUGCCCUGGAGUGGGGGAUAACGCAGCGAAAGCUACGCUAAUACCGCAUAUUCUGUGAGCAGGAAAGCAGGGGAUCGCAAGACCUUGCGCUUUGGGAGCGGCCGAUGUCGGAUUAGCUAGUUGGUGGGGUAAAGGCUUACCAAGGCGACGAUCCGUAGCGGGUCUGAGAGGAUGAUCCGCCACACUGGGACUGAGACACGGCCCAGACUCCUACGGGAGGCAGCAGUGGGGAAUUUUGGACAAUGGGCGGAAGCCUGAUCCAGCCAUACCGCGUGAGUGAAGAAGGCCUUCGGGUUGUAAAGCUCUUUCGGUGGGGAAGAAAUUGCUUGGGUUAAUACCCUGAGUAGAUGACGGUACCUGCACAAGAAGCACGGGCUAACUACGUG
rnacentral:rRNA from 1 species